UACGUAGGGCGCAAGCGUUAUCCGGAAUUAUUGGGCGUAAAGAGCUCGUAGGCGGUUUGUCGCGUCUGCUGUGAAAGACCGGGGCUCAACUCCGGUUCUGCAGUGGGUACGGGCAGACUAGAGUGCAGUAGGGGAGACUGGAAUUCCUGGUGUAGCGGUGAAAUGCGCAGAUAUCAGGAAGAACACCCGUGGCGAAGGCGGCUCUCUGGAACGCAACUGACGCUGAGACGCGAAAGCGUGGGGAGCAAACAGG
rnacentral:rRNA from 1 species